UGGAUAUGCCUGGACAUGUGUGUGU
rnacentral:piRNA from 1 species